rnacentral:rRNA from 1 species
GUGCAGCAGGCGAGAAACCUCCGCAAUGCGGGAAACCGUGACGGGGUCACCCCGAGUGCCACCCGAUGAGGGUGGCUUUUCCCCGGUCUAAAAAGCCGGGGGCAAUAAGCGGGGGGCAAGUCUGGUGUCAGCCGCCGCGGUAAUACCAGCCCCGCGAGUGGUCGGGACGUUUAUUGGGCCUAAAGCGUCCGUAGCCGGCUCGGUAAGUCCCUCCUUAAAUCCACGGGCUCAACCCGUGGGCUGGGAGGGAUACUGCCGGGCUAGGGGGCGGGAGAGGCCGAGGGUACUCCCGGGGUAGGGGCGAAAUCCGUUAAUCCCGGGAGGACCACCAGUGGCGAAGGCGCUCGGCUGGAACGCGCCCGACGGUGAGGGACGAAAGCUGGGGGAGCAAAGGGGAUUAGAUACCCCUGUAGU